rnacentral:rRNA from 1 species
CGCGUGGGUAAUCUACCUUCGAAUUGGGGAUAACGUUGCGAAAGCAACGCUAAUACCGAAUAAUAUCCAUUAAUCUUUGGGUUUUUGGAUCAAGGGUGGCCUCUACAUGUAAGCUACUGUUUGAAGAUGAGCCCGCGUACCAUUAGCUUGUUGGUGGGGUAAAGGCCUACCAAGGCUUCGAUGGUUAGCUGGUCUGAGAGGAUGAUCAGCCACACUGGAACUGACACACGGUCCAG